rfam:Alcanivorax pacificus W11-5, complete genome.
GGCGGCAGCUAUAAAUAUGCAUGGCUGCCCGCAUCACACACUGCGCAUAUUGGAGAAAAGACCAUGGCACUGAGCCCGCAAGAAAAAGCACAGAUCCUGAAGGACUAUGGCCAGAAAGAA